rnacentral:lncRNA from 1 species
GAUUGAUAUAUUUUUGGUACCAGGGAUUGAACUCAGGGGCACUCGACCACUGAGCCACAUCCCCAGCCCUAUUUUGUAGUUUAUUUAGAGACAGGAUCUCACUGAGUUGCUUAGUGCCUCACAGUUGCUGAGGCUGGCUUUGAACUCUCAAUUCUCCUAUCUCAGCCUCCCAAGCCACUGGGAUCACAUGCAUGUGCCGCCUAAUCAUGUCUUUUAAAUUCAUGUAAAUAAAUAUAUACAUGUAUGUGUUCAUUUACAUAAAUAUGAUUAUUUUUGCUAUAUGGGAAAACGGAUGCCUGUCCCGAUUUUACUCCUGAAUGUAGGAUUUUGGACAUUGGGAUAAAUGAGAAGAGAGAGAAGUAGAUGGAGUUUGUUUUGUUUUGUUUUGUUUUCCAUGUGAAUGCCCUUUUAUCAUCAAGGAUAUUCUGCUUCAGUCCUUAAAUCUUUUCCAAAAUAUACACAAAAUUUAAAUGGGCUGGGGGAAGAACAUAGAAUGAAACGAAAAAUCUCUGGUAAGGAUGCAAUUUAAAGGUUGAAAAAAAGAUUCAUCCUCAUGAAUACAUCUUUGUUGUUAAAUAUUUAAGAGUCAAGGCAGAACAACUAAACCAGAAAGUGGAAAAGAAUAGAGGAGAUAAGAGUUUUAAAACAGAAUUAUCAGUGUUUUAAUUUUUAAAGGAACCAUCAGGUAUACAGAUUUUGCAGGAAAAAAUAGUAUCCAAAGUAUUGAUCACUUGUUUUUCCUCCAUAUGAAGAUGUAAAACUUGUGAAGUGUUUAAAUGAUUAUGGGAUGGAAAGUAAAUUUUUCAGAACAAUUAAAAGGCAUGUGAUACAUUUUUGAAAAUCUCUUAAACAACUAAAGUCAGUG